CUGUCAGCUCCCAAAUAUUUUCAGAACAUCGAUAAGGUCUCAUCAGUCGCCUGUCCCCCGUCUCAAGGACAAAACCUACUCUGGCUUGUGGGAAUCGCACACAGCUGAGAUCCCUAAAAGAUGAAAGAGCUUUUGAAAAGCCCCUGAAUUGUAUUUAAGCUCAAUUCAGCUCUGAUCCGCUUCAUUCACAUUCAGUGUGUUCAGUAAGGCAGCGCUGGUGAUGAACACCAUGAUUCUUGUCUGGACUCUCAGCUUUCUGAUCCUCAGCUACACUCUUGGGGUUUCCAUACCUAAUGGCACAAGUGUAUCUCACAUGGAGACUUUUCCCAACGUAACACAGAAAAACUCCACAGAGUAUAUUAAGACCAAUCUGACGCUCAGUAUACAAAAAAGGCCUUCUCCUGUAUCUCACAUGGAGACUUUUCCCAACGUAACACAGAAGAACUCCACAGAGUAUAUUAAGACCAAUCUGACGCUCAGGAUACAAAAAAGGCCUUCUCCCCGAAGGCAUUGUUUUCUGUCCACUUGUGCCCUGUCGAACCUGGGGUCAAGGCUACAGGCUGGAAAUGCGAUUGCUGGGGACAUGACCCGUGAUCCACUGGGAAUCGGCAAGAAAUAAAGCAUGUGAAUGAUCAAAGACUGUUUUGACUGUCUGCAUUAAUGCACUGCAGUGAAGCGAUCUUGUGCUUGCUGUAAUAUUCUGUGAAAACCAGAUUUAUUUAGGCAUGCUGUGUUAAGAUGCUCUCAGCAUCUUAUUCUUUUACAGUAGUCUUGUGAUGCUUCUGUUUUCGUUUUAAGAAUAAUUAUAGUUAAAUCCAUAGAGUGAAAGCCGUCCAGUCUAGCAGAAAUGAGUUUUUAGCCAUUUUUAUUUUAAACCUUGCACAUUAUAUGGAAAAUAGUACAGCAUGUUGCAAUUUUUGUAUUCUUAUGUGGCUGAUUUUAUGGGCAAAUCAUGCAUGGGUCUUUUUUUGUAGAUGAAAAAGAAAAUAAUAUUCCUAUGAAAUAGGAGAUUUCUGUAAAACUUCGACAAGUGAUUUUUCUGUAAUAAAGUCAUUUUUAUAUUAUAAGUUGGCUCAAAAACACACAUUAUAACAUGAAAAUGCAACAAUAUAAAAGGGAAUGCCCGUUGUCGUCUUAUGUUGUAUAAUAAAUCAGGAAAUGUUUAGGCCCAAAUUCUGCAAUGCAAUUCAAACUUUCAGCAUUACAUAUAAUUUCAUUAUUGUUUUUGUUCCUGUGUUACACAAUGUAGAAACUCGACAGAAAAAAAAGAAGAAAAAAAAAAGAAACAUCCUCUCACGUUCAACAGUCAAUUUCCUAACAUGCAUAAAUGAAAUAUAAGCAAAAUGUUAAACAACUGAUACAUAAAGAGCUGACACAUAAAUAAAACUAUGCAAAAAUUGAUUACGGUUCAAUGGACAAGUAUGAAAACAUCUCAUCAUUUCAUAUCAUGAACUAACGUUAUGUUAGGUGUCUAGCUUGGUUAAAUGUUAUGCGUGGCAAUUCAAUAACACAAUGUUUUUUUCUCAAUAUAACACAUUCAAAACAAACUUUUUUGAUAGCAUUCUACUACAAAUAUCACACACUUCAGACAAAAAAUCUGUCAUUUUUCCAUAGUAAGUGCCUUGGAAUUGAUUUAUUUAUUAUACUCAUAUGACAUAUUUGAUCUCUCAUGCUACGAAACACUGAUUGACUCUAUUCAGUUGACUCUGUCUGUCUUUUAAAUAUCUUAUUUAAGGACAAAACCAACUCACACACAGAUGCCAUAUGAACAUGAGCUUUUGAGUCCUCUGAAAAAUUAAAUGUACAGUUAAAUCAGCUCGGGUCUGAUACUUCUGUUCAGGUGUGUUUUCUUUUUCAGCAGCGGAUCCCACGUGGAGACUUUUGUCACAAAGAAGAUUGAGAUAAGCUAGAAACAUUUUGAACUGGGCCUGAGGUGGGAAAGCAAAAGUCACAAAUUUAGACCUUGAAUGCAAACAUGCUAAAUAUAUAUAAAAGAGCAUUUUCUCUUUUUAUACUACAAAACAUUGAUAAGGUCUCAUCAAUUCGUCUCCGUCUGUCUUUUAAAUGUUUGUCCCUGUCUUAUCCAAGGACAAAACCAACUUCUCCCUGUGGGAACCACACACAUAUACAGAUCACUAACAGAUGAAAGAGCUUUUGAAAAGGCAAGGAGCUGUAUUUAAGUUAAACCCAGCUCCGAUCAGCUUCAUUCUCAUUCGGUGCGUUCAGUAAGUCAGCGUCUGAUCGUCAUGAUUCUUGUCUGGACUCUCACCUCUCUCGUCCUCAGCUGCACUCUUGGGUUCCCCGUGCUUAAUAACACGAGCAGCAACUCUUACACGAAGGCGUUCCCCAACGUCACAGAGAGGAACAUCACCGUGGAUGUUCAGAAGACCAAUCAGACCAGUUACCAACUGCCGAUGUACUUUGCUCCUGAAUUAAUCCCACCAGAAGUACUGACAGAUCUUCCAAAUCUCCAAAUGGCGGCAGCACCAGGAUGUUCUUUGGCUACCUGUGCCAUACAAACUCUAGCCCACAGGAUGCAGAUCGGGAAUGAGAAAGCAGGGGACAGCGCAAGUGAUGCAUGGGGGCUCGGGAAAAAAUAAGACAUGUAUAGGCGCAUAAAGGUUACUUUUAUUUGAUUGCUUUGAAGACACAUUUAAUCGUAAAAUCUCUUUCCAUUGAGCCUCAAGAUUGAGAGCAAUUAUAGAUAUGUACGCGAUCGAUGCUACUCUAAUGUCAUCUCUUUUCACAAGUGAAAAAUAAAAUCGUUUGUAUUACCAUA